AAGAAAAUAUUAUUCUGGAAGCCUGCACCUUUCCCACUCUCUACAUGCAUUUUGUUGGCAUGUAGGGACUUCUAUGGAGUUGGUUGCAAGGGGAGACUGGUUUCGGAUACUAUGAUUAAAUGCAUUAAGAAGCCUCCACAGCUUUCUCUUCCUCUUGGCAACAGUUCUGUGCUACGUAACAAAUUCUGGGAAAGCAGCAUUCUAGCAAGCCUUAUGGACUACAGCAUCCCAGCAAAAACUGGAGGAGUAGCAAGACCACCACAUUUCUUCUGCAGAUGUUUUGGUGUCAUGGGAUUCACUUCCAAUUUAAGGAGAGAGGGGGAACCCUCUAAUAAAAGUUCAACAACAGAUUGAUGUAUUACGAUUGAACGAGCCACGGUGAUGCAGUGCUUAGAAGGUAGUACUUCAGGCUAACUCACUGCUUACUCCAGGAGUUCGAUUCUCACUGGCUCAAGGUUGACUCAGCCUUCCAUUCUUCCAAGACACUGGACAGAAAGAACAUUUUAUGGUUAAGGUGGAGUUUGGAAUGAGAGGUCUGGCAAGGAAAAAUAGAAGCCCAGGUCAUCUGUUGCUGUGGCAUAACUGGGUGAUGCAAGCAUUCUGCAGCCUGCAGCUACGUCGGCUGAGGGUUAGUUAGCCGCUAGUGUUUUUCCAAUACAAAUGUUGCACAACUCUGUACAUUCUUGAAAGUGAUCUACAGAUUAGGGUAGUAUCUAACUGUGUCUUUCCAGACUAUGAGGUGGCCUGAAUACCAACAUUUUUUUUUUCCCGGGAUGGAGUGAUAUUACUAUACAAGCAUUUUUUUUAAAGACUUGUUUUCAAAAUCAAUCAACUAAGACAUUGGCAUAAUAAGCACC